UGUUGCAGAUUUUUGGACGGCUGUUCUCUGAAGACGGAACCAUCGGGCACACGCCAAAACCAAGUCUCUGUAGCAAAAGAGAUAAUGGUGACAUCGCAGCAGAGCCAGUACAUCAGGCAGCACCGAGACUGGUUUGUGAGUCGGGAAAAGCUGUAGAAACGUCAUCAGGGCCAGCGUGUGAGCCGGGCCGUGUCACCGAUAAAUCUGUUCAAGUGCGGCUACUAAUCCACCACGAAGCAUCACAAGCGGAUGAAAAGAAAAUUCUGUCAACAUGUGCUACACAAACAGAGCCUGAAUCUGUUUCUUCAGGUUCCUUGUCCGUUGCGUCCCCGGAGCAGUCUUCUUCUUUGGCGUCUGUUCGAGGUCGACUGCAUUCCUGCCAGCAGUGCACCUAUGUGACCCUGGACAAGUCGACGAUGAACAGACACCUUCAGAAACAUAUGGGCGAGCUCCCCUUUCAGUGCCACAUGUGCCCAGCUGCAUUCACUGCGGAGUCGAAGCUGGUGACUCACAUACGCACUCACACAGGAGAGCGCCCCUUUUCCUGUGUCCACUGCAGUGCAUGCUUUACGACGAAAUCCCACCUCGUGAGACACAUCCACACGCACACAGGAGAGCGCCCCUUUUCCUGUGUGCACUGCAGUGCAACCUUUGCGCAGAAAUACCACCUCGUGAGGCACAUCCGCAGGCACACGGGAGAGCGUCCCAUUACCUGUGCCCACUGCAAUGCAUCGUUUGUGAUGCAAGCCGACCUCGUGCCGCACAUGCGCAUUCACACAGCACAACCCCUAUUCUCCUGUGUCCACUGCAAUGCAUCCUUUACGCAGAAAAAGAACCUCUUGAAACACGUCCGCAAGCACACAGGAGAGCAAUGUUUUUCCUGUGUCCAAUGCAAUGCAUCGUUUGUGACUAAAUCCUACCUCGUUGAGCACAUGCGCUCUCACACAGGAGAGCGUCCCUUUCUCCUGUGUUCACUGCGAUGCAUCCUUUUCGCGCAAAGGGAGCCUCGUGACGCACACACGCACUCACACAGAAGAGCGUCCCUUUUCUUGUGUCCAUUGCAAUGCAUCCUUCAAGCAGCAAAAGGUCCUCGAGAGACACGUCCGUGGUCACACAGGAGAGCGUUGCUUUUCCUGUGUCCACUGCAGUGCAUCGUUUGUGACUAAAUACUACCUCGUUGAGCAUAUGCGCACUCACACAGGAGAGCGUCCCUUUUCCUGCGUUCACUGCGAUGCAUCCUUUUCGCGGAAAGGGUGCCUCCUGGUGCACAUACACACUCACACAAAAGAGCGUUGCUUCUUCUGUGUCCAUUGCGAUGCAUCCUUUACGCAUAAAAAGGCCCUCCAGAGACACGUCCUCACUCACCCGGGAGAGCGUCCCUUCUCCUGUGCCCACUGCAAUGCAUCCUUUUCACGAAACACAUUCUCAUACACCACAUUUCCCGCCUUCAUACAAAUGAGAAGACAUAAAUGUGACGGGCCUAUGGCCUUUUCAUAAACAAAAGGUGUGGCCGAGAGAGCAGAGUUUGUUCAAUAAGUCAUUGCGAAAGUUUGGUUUAAAGGGACCCUAAAGGUAAAU